rnacentral:misc_RNA from 1 species
UCGAAUUACUGAGGGUUGUUGCUGGGUGCCAAAAGACACCAAGUGCACGCCUUCCUUCAUUCUCAAACCCCUGUGCACCUAUUGUAGGCUUGGUCGUAGGGCUGGCUUCGGUCGGUCUGAAAGCCUUGCCUAUGCUUUAACACACGCUUCAGUCUAUGAAUGUCAUUGCGGAUAACGCAUUAUAUA